rnacentral:rRNA from 1 species
GUGGGGAAUAUUGCGCAAUGGGGGGAACCCUGACGCAGCCAUGCCGCGUGAAUGAAGAAGGCCUUCGGGUUGUAAAGUUCUUUCGGUAUUGAGGAAGGUUGAUGUGAUAAUAGCACAUCAAAUUGACGUUAAAUACAGAAGAAGCACCGGCUAACUCCGUGCCAGCAGCCGCGGUAAUACGGAGGGUGCGAGCGUUAAUCGGAAUAACUGGGCGUAAAGGGCACGCAGGCGGUUAUUUAAGUGAGGUGUGAAAGCCCCGGGCUUAACCUGGGAAUUGCAUUUCAGACUGGGUAACUAGAGUACUUUAGGGAGGGGUAGAAUUCCACGUGUAGCGGUGAAAUGCGUAGAGAUGUGGAGGAAUACCGAAGGCGAAGGCAGCCCCUUGGGAAUGUACUGACGCUCAUGUGCGAAAGCGUGGGGAGCAA